UACGGGGGGGGGCAAGCGUUGUUCGGAAUUACUGGGCGUAAAGGGCUCGUAGGCGGCCAACUAAGUCAGACGUGAAAUCCCUCGGCUUAACCGGGGAACUGCAUCUGAUACUGGAUGGCUUGAGUUCGGGAGAGGGAUGCGGAAUUCCAGGUGUAGCGGUGAAAUGCGUAGAUAUCUGGAGGAACACCGGUGGCGAAGGCGGCAUCCUGGACCGGCACUGACGCUGAGGAGCGAAAGCCAGGGGAGGCAAAGCGGG
rnacentral:rRNA from 1 species